rnacentral:lncRNA from 1 species
CACGAAAGAAGUGGCCCGGUUUAUAAAGAAAACUGGGCCGAAAACCAAACAGAAGGAAAACACAUAAAAGAACCCACUAGAGAUUGGAGGUAGGGUUCAGAGGGUCUAGAAAGAAUUUAUCGUCUUACAUACUUCCCUGUUGUAUAAUUUUUUUUAUCUGUAUAAGAAUAUAUGUACGUGUGCUUCCCUGUUGUAUAAAUGAAUUUGAUUGAUGUGUACGCUCCGUGAAUAAUUCAAAAGGCUCGUGUUGUCAGUUGUGCAUGCCUCCAUGAGAUUCAGAUAUAUAUGAAUCUUGUAAAUUCGAUCUCCUAAAAUUGCUUCCGUGACGCACGCAGCAAGAUUGCCGGCCUGGGAUCUGGACGUUUGGUAAGCUUUGGCAAAAUUGUAAUCGACUGAGGCCGAAACUGAAAUUUAUAGAUGAUCGCCGAAACUGAAUUGGGGGCAAAAAAAAAAAAAAUCCUCCCCAAAAUUCCCUUGAUUCCAAUUUCCAAACAGGGAGUGGAGGCUGCGAGGGGAUUAAAUUGGAUCGGAUUCCGGCCGAUCUCUACCUAGUGCGUCGUCAGAAUCAGAUUAAUUCACGCCCCUGGCCUUUGACCAAACCCCUAGCUAACCGCCGCCGCCGCCAUGGAUCUCCUCCCCGACGAGCUGC